UCUGGCCCUCCCAACAAUGACUGCAUCUGUCCCCAGUGCUGUAACACCAUUUCUUCAUUUGACACGGUCGUCCGUACUGAUCCCAAUAUACACAAGGUCCAUCUUUCCGAUUUAAUACUUGACGACUCGAUAAAUCCGGUAAACCCCCUCUUUGUUAGCUAAAAUGACCAAUUGUUUUUUAGGUGUGUAUUUCUCCCUUAAAAAUCUUUUCCGUUUUCUCAACUUUCAUGAUUAGUUAUCCCUGCUGUACGAAAACUUGGUUUGGCAAUUUCAACUUAUAGUACGAGAAAAUUGGAGAUCGAUUGUUCACGUUGGAGU